ACGACAAUCACAAACCAAAACACGUGUUUACAUGUAUAUUUCGUAAGAUAUUCACAAAAUGUCAUUUACGUAUUCGUAGUCUUUACAUACAUCAAAAAUGUCUAGCGGAUUAAUUAUAGCUGGUAUUGGUUUGGCAGCUGUGGGAUUUGCAGGAAGAUAUGUUGCACGGUAUGGAAAACAAGCCCAGCAAGCUAUGAAGAAACAAUUUGAUGCUUUACCACAGUCUGGGGCCUUUAGUAAAUAUUAUAAGGGAGGUUUUGAACCAAAGAUGUCCAAACGAGAAGCUGGAUUAGUUCUCGGUGUCAGUCCUACAGCAAGCAAGGCAAAGUUAAAAGAAGCCCAUAAAAGAAUUAUGUUAUUAAAUCAUCCA